rnacentral:rRNA from 1 species
AGUCGUAACAAGGUUUCCGUAGGUGAACCUGCGGAAGGAUCAUUAGUGAAUAUAGGACGUCCAACUUAACUUGGAGUCCGAACUCUCACUUUCUAACCCUGUGCACUUGUUUGGGAUAGUAACUCUCGCAAGAGAGCGAACUCCUAUUCACUUAUAAACACAAAGUCUAUGAAUGUAUUAAAUUUUAUAACAAAAUAAAACUUUCAACAACGGAUCUCUUGGCUCUCGCAUCGAUGAAGAACGCAGCGAAAUGCGAUAAGUAAUGUGAAUUGCAGAAUUCAGUGAAUCAUCGAAUCUUUGGACGCACCUUGCGCUCCAUGGUAUUCCGUGGAGCAUGCCUGUUUGAGUGUCAUGAAUACUUCAACCCUCCUCUUUCCUAAUGAUUGAAGAGGUGUUUGGUUUCUGAGCGCUGCUGGCCUUUACGGUCUAGCUCGUUCGUAAUGCAUUAGCAUCCGCAAUCGAACUUCGGAUUGACUUGGCGUAAUAGACUAUUCGCUGAGGAAUUCUAGUCUUCGGAUUAGAGCCGGGUUGGGUUAAAGGAAGCUUCUAAUCAGAAUGUCUACAUUUUAAGAUUAGAUCUCAAAUCAGGUAGGACUACCCGCUGAACUUAAGCAUAUCAAUAAGUCG